rnacentral:rRNA from 1 species
UAAAACCAGCACCUCAAGUGGUCAGGAUGAUUAUUGGGCCUAAAGCAUCCGUAGCCGGCUCUGUAAGUUUUCGGUUAAAUCUGUACGCUUAACGUACAGGCUGCCGGGAAUACUGCAAAGCUAGGGAGUGGGAGAGGUAGACGGUACUCGGUAGGAAGUGGUAAAAUGCUUUGAUCUAUCGAUGACCACCUGUGGCGAAGGCGGUCUACCAGAACACGUCCGACGGUGAGGGAUGAGAGCUGGGGGAGCAAACCGGAUUAGAUACCCGGGUAGUCCCAGCUGUAAACUAUGCAAACUCAGUGAUGCAUUGGCUUGUGGCCAAUGCAGUGCUGCAGGGAAGCCGUUAAGUUUGCCGCCUGGGAAGUACGUACGCAAGUAUG